CACUUGAGGCGAAUCAGUCACCUCUGAGAUACUUCGCGCAUUUUGCUUUUCAAGAGUACUCUGAGCGCUAUAAAAUUGAGUAUACGAUUUAAUGUUGGUAGAAAUGAAGCCGUAUUUUGCGUUGAUCACCAUCACUGAAGUGUUUCUACGUCAAAAUGUGACCAAAAAAAUUUUUUUCUACCAGUCCCUAAAAGAGAGAAUUAGUAUAGUCGCCGGUUGGAUUACAUGGCAGAUACGCGCAGAUGUUCGAAUGAUAAAAUUGUUCAAUUCACGAUAAAUAUAAACAUUUUCGCUGUAUCCAAUCCACAUUAUCGAAAACAUCAGAUUGCAAGGCAUAUUGUUCGAGAGUCUAAGAGUAAUAGAAUCAGUGUGACAUAUACACAUUAUUGUAAUUUACAUGUAUUCAACGACAAAGGAAAACAACUUACAAUACCGUUGUGACUGCAUUAUAAAAAACUAUCGAAAACAUAAGAUUACAAGAUAUAUUGUUCGAGAGUCUAAGGGUAACAGAAUCAGUAUGAAACAUAUUAUACAUUAUUGUAAUUUACAUGUAUUCAAUGACAAAUGAAAACAUAACUUACAAUACCGUUGUGACUACACAGUAAAAAAUUGCUUUUCACCAGUAAAUAGCAUUUAUAUGUUCUCCCUGAUCUUUUUCAUUCGAUCAGUCAUUCGUUGAAUUCAAAUAAAACGCGCUAAAAUUUAAUACGUUUACUAACAAGGAAUACCAGCUGGGUGUCCCCUUCAAAUUCGUAGCAGCUUAUGUAUAUUGUAGAACAUUGAAAAAUUAAAGACACGUAUUUUUUUU
rnacentral:misc_RNA from 1 species